AAAAAGGCUAAAUAAUUCAAAUUAAAAUCUUUUGAAUAAAAAAAAUUGGUAACCAAUUCAAUAACUAUAUUUAAUUUUUUACUUCAACCAUGUGACUCUACUCAUUUUUUGUUUUCCCCACCAAUGAGUAAAGAACAAGCAAUGAAAACUAAUCAAUAGAUGUCUAAUCCUUCAUGAACAGAUUAUUUCCCUACUACUUUUAAAUUACUGAUUACCAAAAGAGAACUACACAUAGAAUAUGAAUGCCCAAAUUGUUCAGAUUUGAUGCAAAAAUAAUAGGAGAAAUGAUUAAAACAA
rnacentral:misc_RNA from 1 species